CGCCGCAAGGCCUGCCAUGGCCGGCGUCGAGGAGGUUAAUGGCGCGGAUCUCGCCGCCACGCGCUCGCCGCCGCGGACCUCCUCCACUGCUUCGUCCCGGCGCCCCGCUCCGGCCCCCGCCUCUGUCGGUGGAGGGGCGCGGCGAGGAGGCGGAGGUCCGACCUCCUCGGCCGCUCCGCUGGUGCUGAGGGAGAAAAGGGGCGGGGGAUGGGGGACCUCUGCCCCGCGCCUCCUGCUGGCGCUGCUGCUUGUCGCCGUGGCGGGGGCGUCGGCCAUCUGGGUACCAUGGCAGCCGUCUUCUCCAUCCUCCGCCGGCCCGGGGAUUGGGGAGAGAGGAGAAGGGAGGAGAGAGGGGAGGAAGGGGGAUGGGGAGGGCGACGGGUAGGAGAGAAAUGCCUUAUAAGUCAUCUACAACCAAACACACAUGAUUUAUAAGUCACUAGUUUUAAGUCACCUGACUUAUAAGUCACCUGACUUAUGGAAACCAAACAGGGCCUAAAGCAGAGGGAGAAGAGGGGCCCCUGGAGGUAGAGCACGUUGCAGGAGGUCCGCCGCCGGAAUGAACCCGCCCACGAAGCCGGCACCCCGGACGCCGACGCCGACGAAGCAGCACCGCGUGCACUGCCUCGCCCCAUUCUCGGCAUCACCUCGCCACGGCGCCACCCCUCACCUCCGCGAGCCGCCCGAUAAUAAUGUUACUUCAUUCCCAGAGAACUAUUCAAGCGAUCUGAGCAUGAAGUGAGCACGUAAAUGCCAAAUUCUCAUUUCGCAGCAUGAUAUUUACCAUUUGUUAAUGCUACCUAGAGUAUUUUGUUGGUGAACUGAUCUGCUUAAAAGCUUCAAGCAGUGCAUCCAUUAGAGCAUAUGCAGCACCAUCCAUGUUUGAAGUAGAAGCUCUAAAGCUCUAACGUCAAGCCAAUGAUUGUGGCUGAGAUGCAGCUGUUGUUUACUAGCCCUUGUGCAUUUGCUAUGAGCCUAUAAGUAUGACUCUUAGUUGUAUCAUGGAAUCACAGCAUUCUUAUACUAACCCUUCUACAACUACAUCGGAAUUACAAUGCAAAUGUGUAUCAAUUGCUGCGUAAUAACGGAACUGUUUAUCCCUGAUGCCCUUUGUUCCUUUCAGAUUUGAUAGACUUUGAGUGCUUCAAUUUCGACUCAUGUAAGAUUGGUGAUUAGCCAUCUGAGGCCUCUAUAAGUUUAACCACAGAUUUGUAAUAUUCUUUGUGCAUUCAGACAUUUCCUCUGACAUUGUUUUUGGUUCCAUGUCGACAUCAGCAGCGAACUACGUCAAGUUUAGUCAGCCCCUUGGCAACGGUGACCAUACUGGCAUCAUCAUCUACUUCGUCGUGCUCUCCCCCUCCAGCCAGGGAGCAUUCUGUUUGCAGCCCAAUUAAAAAGAAGAGUAGCAAGAUACCCUCCCUUGAUGACUGCCUUGAUGAUCUCAACAACAUCCUUAUAGAUGCGAGGGAGCGCAAGUCCCGUCGUAUCACUGAAGCCAAUGAGAUGGCAAAAGUCAAUCAGAUUUUGAAAGAGGAUGGGUACAGCGAGAGUGAUCUAUUUUUUGCCCAAGCCUUGAAUCUUUGCACACACAGGCUCCAUCGUAGGGCUUUCCUGGAUUUGAAGACCAAAAAAGGCCGGUACAACUACGUCAAGGUGUCUUGGGACGUGAUGACUCUAAAGUCCAAGUGAAUCCGAACAUCACAGUCGGCUGCUGCGUGUCUUUCAUUUGUAUCUGUUUUCGUUAUUGCCGAUGUCGUGUAGUUUGAAUACCGUGCCAUCGUGUCGUGAGUCCUGGUUGUUGUAAUACCGACCGUUUUGUGAACUUUGGUUGCUGGUCAAUGUUUGUGUGUCGAAAAAACGAUGUGUGUUGAACUCGAGGAGACUAGGUCAUAUGCUAUGGUAUCAUUUCAAUCUGAAUAUUGUUAUUAAUUGUGUUGUGUGGCAAAUAUCCAAGGGCAACUGCGUUAUUUGU